AGAGAGGAUUCCUACAUGGAGUGGGAGACUGAAAUAAUAACCUCAAAGAUGCCUUCCAAUCAGAAGAUUUGGUGAUUCUUUCUGAGUUAUCAAACUGCCUUCCUUUGACCUUGCUCACAUGAAGAAAUCCAAGUCAGCGCAGCUUAACUUGGACUCACCACCUAUCAAGUGCUUGACGGCCACGUGUGCAGUGGUUCCUACGUGGAGCAGCAUAGAUCCAGAGAUGCAAAUAUUAAUGAGGACAGUGCUAGUAACAGAGUUGCUGAGCAAUCUAUGUCCCCUUGUAAGAACCAGUGCCCCAGGGGAAGAAACAGAACUCCACAAGGUAGCAGUGUGGGUGUAGUACCCGCAUGUGUCCAUGUUAUGGGAAUGUAGAUGGGGAGUGACCACCGCCAACAGAAGUGUGGCCAUCUUGCCCGAGAUGCCUGAGGACCUCCUAUUUUUAGAUGCUGCUGCCCAAGGCCUGUAUUUCAUGCUAUGGCUUUUGUCAUUUGAAUUAUCAGUAGCUGUCUUGGAGCUAUUACGCUUCACUGGGCCCUGGAGGAUAUUGUCUUAUACAGUCCACUGGGUUUUGGAUAUGCAGUCUGUGCCUUUCAUUGCCUUCCUGGAAAAUAAUAACUAAACUCUUCCUCACCA